CUUCCGCCCGGCUGCGGGGAACGCCCCUCCAGGUCAGCUGACUGGGGCGAGAGGUGGAGUGCGGGACAGGUGCAGGCUGCAGCCCACGUUUAAAACGCUGCGACUCCCAAGAUGGGUCGACAAGUGCUGUGGGUCAGCGCUUCUCAUCUAGUGGGAAAGAAUGUGCCGGGAAGGACAAAAACGUGAAGGGCCCAUCGAUCUUAGUGGCUCCGACCUGCGUCAUGGAACGUUGUGACAGAGGAGGGAUGGCAGCCGCACAGCGGAAGUGGCUCUGAGCACGGGGGCUGGAGCUCUUCGUCGGGACCAGAGCAAACUGAAAGCCAGGUGCCUGUCUGCACCAGGCUCCGCGGACAGCCUGCCCCUCAGGAGUCGCCAUUCCUCAUGCCCACGAGAGGGGGUUGCCUUGAAGAUCAAGUGAGAAAGAAUAAAAUGACACGCUUUGGUAAGUAUAAAAUACGAAAGAAAAUUGACUCCAUUAUUAUUAUAGUGUGUUAUAUUAUUAUAUUUCUCCCAAAAUCAAAGUCAUUGCAAAUGUACAUUACGGAUGGCGCAACUAAAUGAAAACAUUACGUGAUAAAAUACAUAAAAAGAAAGAUCAUUAGCUCCUACCCAUUUAGAGAAAAAUGAAGUUUGGACAACACAAAUGUUUAGAAGAGAAAAGCAAGGAACUGGUCCAAAGUUUAAGAAGGCCACGUAUUUAUGACCGUUGCUCUUGCAUGGAGACAGUCGCCCUCCGACAUGGAAACUAAUGUUCGACACACUCCUGGGGAAGUUUUUUGGAAGAAAUGCCUUGUAUUUGCAGCAGUACUUCAAAAAGAAUAAGAAAAAUAGACGCUAGUUUUGUUAAAAUGUGCAGUGUUCAUAAUAAAUGAUUUUGUUAAGACGGGAAGUUUCGUAAAGAGACACGGUGCCUUAGGUCCUUUGUGUUACUGGUACAAAGAGACGUUCAAUAAAACGAUAUACAAUAAAAUAAAAGCUCAGUAAACAGUGGAAACUCUGUAGAAGAUGAGUUGAGGAAUGAAGGGAGCGUUUCUGGGUCAAGAGCGAGGGAGGAAGGGAGCGGUGACCCGAAGCCCACCAGCUGGGUCUCCCGACUGAUGCAGGAACGCGGGAAGUGGGGUCGGGUUCCUGGUCACAGGCCCCGGGCUCCGAAAGACGCCCCUUGGUGUGAGGCUCUGCUCCCGCCACCGCCUUAAAAUUCUUGCUGAUGCGACUUCGAAGCUGUGUCUGGAAGCGAGGUCUCGUGGGCCGAGCAGUCACCCGGGAGGGCAGGAGGUGCGCGCCGCACGCUGGCCACCU